GGUCAAGGACUAGAAGCCAAGACCAAUAAUGUACGAAAAGAAGAAGAAGAAGAUAAAUCGAACGGGAAGAAAGACAAGCAAGCAAUCAAGAAAAACAAAGAAGAAGACGAGGAAGAAAAAAAAUAUGACGAGUGGUGGAGGAAAAUAUUUUAUUUUCCCUUUAGGUACAACUUGCUAGUGGCUUUCCCCAAUUUAAAUUCCCACCAAAAUUGGUUAAGAUAGGUUUAAGUCAAUUUACCUUAUACCCUUCAUUUAAUUCAAUGGACCAAACUGUCAACUUAUAAACUUGGGGGAAACUUCACAAUCCUUGAUAAUUAAUCACAUAAUUGUCACCUACACCCAAUACAUAAGACUUAUGUGCCCGCUUAUUUAUUUUGAAACCUUAUUGUCAGUUUCUUUCCAAACACUCGAAGAACACGGUGAGUCCCCUAAAUCGAGUGGAGCUUUUCUCUCCAUCAAACUUUAUCUCUGAAUCAAAGAACAACAUGCUGAAUCAUUGAAGAACUGCUUGCUGAAUCAGGAAAACAUUUCGUCCAUUUGAAGAACACGAUUUUCUCUUCAUACUAAGUCUGAAGGGCACGAUUUCCAUCAAACAUUCUCAAAGGUUUCACGAUUUCAUAUUGAAAAGUGAAGAUCACAAUUUCACAAUUUCUUGUUGAAGAGAUGAAGGUUAUGCCUCAGAUGAACGUGCCUCACUAGAAUGCUUCACUUGAGAAGAUGAUGUCUUAAAGCUUCAUCAGAUUUUGUUUGAAUAAGGUUUUUAAAUAGAGGAAUCGAGUCAGAAGCAUCUCGAGCGUAUACAUAGAGAUUAUUACUAGUUGUUAAUGGACGAACUAUGCAUAGAAAGUAUUGCUGGAAGUUUUGAAUGUGUGCUUUUCAGAAAGAUGAGGAUAAAAGUAAUAAGGAUGGUACUCUAGGAAUAGGAGAGAACAACAUGAAUGCGGUUAUAAGGAAUACGUGUAUGGUUCAUGGCUGUAUGUUGAAUGCAAUGGCACUUACGGGGUUCUAUUAUAUGCAUAUAUUGUCAAAUUUGAAGCAGAAGCUGUAAAAGGCUUGCAGUUUUGCCAACAAAUGGAUUGUUAGUCUUUGGUUUAGAUCAUGUGCAUGACAUCAUUUUACAUCUCUUUCGAUGUGAAUAUAUAUAGAGAUCUCAACGAGCUUGCUCUCCUAAUUGGUGUGCCUGUUCAUGGAUCUUGGCUUCUUGAAUUUGUGCCUUCAGAAAACAAGGGAAUGUGGAAGAUUAUCUGGAUCUUACAUUACGAUGAACUACACUUUGCUCCUUGGGUUUUAUAUUACAAUGAACUUAAGUGGACUUUUUUUAUUAUAGCUGUUGUACGUGGUUAAGUGGAGCAGAAGUACAAGUGGUCAUACGGGUUGUUGCACAAUCCAAAACCUAAUCGAAACUUCUCUACUGUCGAAGUCAAAGUUAUUGUUAAAUGCAGGUGAUAUAUAAGAAUUUAAAGGAUUAUACAAUGAGCCAGCUAAAUCAAAACCCUAGUAUUCUUUGCACUAACCAUUUUAUAUAUUUCUUUCUUGAAUUUAUGUGUAAAAGAACCAUCGAUCCUUUUAGAUACACUAAAAAACAUACCUUGUUUAUUCUGAUUCUUAUUCAUUUAUUUACCACAGAAAACUCUGUCACAGUUGUACAAAGGAAUCUGGACAUGAAUUAUCAAGACGAUGAACAUAUAAGAACAAAUUGGCUUGCAUUGCUGAAGAAAAUAACAGACUUGCCUAAGGGAUAACUUUAAUAACAGCAAAGGCGAGGAGAGCAACUUUUUAGCUCAUCAACCAAUUUUUCUUGAUCUGGUCUCCGUCCUUCUUAGCUUAUAAAAACUAAUCCUUUCAGCUAAUGAAGUUCCAUGUAAGAUAAUUUUGUGAAUUUCAUAACUUAUAAACACUACAAGUUGGAGUAAUGAAAAAUUAUUCUAAUUUUGGAUAUGUUUGUAAUAUAAAUUUACUGUUUAAUUCAUUUAAAUCAUUAUGUCCAACAACAUACAGGUCACAGGAUCAAAAAAAAGGCAAAGGAAGAAAAAAGGGAAAACAUGUUUGGUCAUGUCUAGGGUAUCCAAUGCUCUUGAUUUCUAUGGUUUUUCUUCUUCUAAGAUUAUCUUUCACGUUUAAUUUAGAGAGAAGAAACAUAUUUGAACUAAAUGCUUGUAGCAAAUUGUUGAUUCUUGUGACUCAUUAGUGUAAAAAAUUUCUUUCUCCAUAUUCGAAGUUGUGGUUUUCAUUUGUGGUAAUGUGCAGUGCGUGUACAUGACACUUACAAGAAGAAGUUGUCUAAUCUAUAAAGGUUAAUCUGUUUAGGCAUGUAUGUAUAUACUACCGUGAAAAUAUUUACAACAUAUGAAUGCAUGCAAAAUUUACCUUUAUGAUGUAUUUACCGUUUUAGUAGUUUGUCUAUUACUUAAUAUAUACAGUCAUUUUAAAGAAAAAAACUCUUUUAUAAGUCUAGUUGCAAAUCUUUCAGAGUGCAAAUGGGGCAACAUGAGAUGAGUUCUUGUUACAAAUUGAUGUACCUCUUAUGUUCAUGUAGGUAAAAGCACUUUGUUGUAGUUGGAUUCGUAUCACAUGGACAAAAAUGUUGCUCUUAUGGAGGCUUAUUUGUUAGACGGGCAUUAUGUUUAAUUAAUACGUACAAGAAUGGACACACAUUAGCUAAAUCAUAAUUGCUUACAGAUGGGCUAUAUGCAUACUUUUAUUUGUAGGGCUGAGAUAUACAUUUGAAUCGACAUAUAUGCAUAUUAAUGCAUUUCAUGAUGAUUUCAUUUAAUUAUUUUUGUUCACUUACACAUUUAUUUCACUAACUUAUAAAUUUAUUUUGAAUGUGUAGGAAAAUGCCGGUAAUUGACUUUGAAUUGUCGCCAGAAGUAAACUAGAUGUAUUGUAGUGAACGAUGAGAAGCUUUUCUGCUAUCAUCAUAUGUGUUUGAAUGCAUUUGAUUUUUUUUGAAUUUAUUGAUACUAGUGAUCUUUAAGCAAUCACUUUCUAAGUAUUGGUUGUGCAACACAUGUUUCUCAAAGUUUAUUUGAAAUAUAUAAUUUUGAUUCAAUUCUUAGUUAAUUUUGUGCUUUAGGGACUUGUAUAUUUAAUUUUUUGAUUAUAUAUUGCAUAUAUGCGAUUCAAAAGAGUCAAUGUAGGACGUCCAAUGUUAUAGUUACGCUUUAUAAGUGUUGUUCUAGAUAAGAUAUUAAGUUACACUUUGUAAGUGUUGCUCUAGAUGAGAUAUAACGUCAUACUUUAUAAGUGUUUCUCCAGAUGACAUAUAAAGGCAACACUUUUGAAGUUGUUUAUUUUCCUUUUAAUGUGGAUUAGGGAACCAAUGAUUAAUUAUUUUGUCAAUAAUU